UACGGGGGGGGCAAGCGUUGUUCGGAAUUACUGGGCGUAAAGGGCUCGUAGGCGGCCAACUAAGUCGGAUGUGAAAUCCCCAGGCUCAACUUGGGAACUGCAUCCGAUACUGGCGGGCUUGAAUCCGGGAGAGGGAUGUGGAAUUCCAGGUGUAGCGGUGAAAUGCGUAGAUAUCUGGAGGAACACCGGUGGCGGAAGGCGGCAUCCUGGACCGGUAUUGACGCUGAGGCGCGAAAGCUAGGGGAGCAAACGGG
rnacentral:rRNA from 1 species